CGGGGAGUAGGGGAUGGCGGUGGGUCGAGCCCCCUGGGUCCGAGACCAGGGGACUCAGGUUCGAGUCCUGUCUCCCCGACCA
rnacentral:tRNA from 1 species